rnacentral:rRNA from 1 species
GCACAGUUCAAGUACCUGGGAAUACCAGGAACCGGGCAAAGGUCCAUACCACAGGUUAAAUUUAUUCGGUGGGGUUCCCUUAAAAGGAUAUUUGGGGUAAAUUCGGAGGUUAUUCCUGCCAUUAAAGUUAUUAAAUUAUGGUAUAACAAUGCCGGUAAUAGGUUAAAACCAAUGGGCUUUGGCCAAAUUUGUUAACUUUAGGUAAUGGGGUUCCAUACAGGUUUAUUUUUGGAGGAAUGGCCGGAAUUGGUUUUGCCCUUUUAAAUAAAUUACCGGGUUAUGAACGGGUUAGGGGGUGCCGGGGAAAGGGGAAUUUGGGUUUGUUUUCGGGGGGAAAGCCUUAAAAACGGGUUUUACCUUCCAGGGAGGCCGCCGGGGGGGAAAUUUCCCCCUUUCCGUGGGGGGGGGGAGGGGAGGGAAAAGGCCAGUUUCCUUUUUUAUUGGGAGGGACCUUGGAAAGGGUUAAUUUUAAAUUCCUUAAAGGUUAUCAAUGGGGGGGCAAGUUUGGGGCCCGCCGGCGGGGUAAUUUCAGGUUUUCUUAUGCCAUGAAAUGGUGGUGGGGGUAAAAAAUUUGGAGGUGCAAGGGUUCGGAGGGGGAGGGGUCAAUUUUUUGGGGGUAAUACUAAUUCUGGUAAAGGGUUAUAUGGUUGAUAGCCGUAUACCCUAGUUACUUUGAGUAAAUCAGAGUGCUUAGAACAAGCGUAUUGCUUGAAUGGUUGUGCAUGGAAUAACAAUACAAUGCAUUGAUAUUUGUUUUGUUGGUUUUAAUGUCAAUGAAUGAUUAAAAGGAACAAACGGGGGCAAAAGUAUCAUAAGGCGAGAGGUNAAAUUCGUGGACCCUGNGCAAGGG